AGAAUCAACGCUGGCGGCGUGCCUAACACAUGCAAGUCGAACGAGAAAGUGGUAGCAAUACCAUGAGUAAAGUGGCGCACGGGUGAGUAACACGUGACUAACCUACCCUGGAGUGGGGAAUAACUGGGAGAAAUCCUAGCUAAUACCGCAUAACACCUACGGGUCAAAGGAGCAAUUCGCUUCAGGAGGGGUCGCGGCCGAUUAGUUAGUUGGCGGGGUAAUGGCCCACCAAGACGAUGAUCGGUA
rnacentral:rRNA from 1 species